AUACGGAGGACGCGAGCGUUAUCCGGAUUCAUUGGGUUUAAAGGGUGCGCAGGCGGCCGUGCAAGUCAGCGGUGAAAGCCCGGGGCUCAACCCCGGAAGUGCCGUUGAUACUGCGUGGCUGGAAUGCGGUCGAGGCGGGCGGAACGUGGCGUGGUGCGGUGAAAAGCGAAGAUAUGCCACAGAACGCCGAUAGCGGAGGCAGCUCGCCAGGCCUGCAUUGACGCUCGGGCACGAAAGCGUGGGGAGCGAACAGGAUUAGAUACCCUGGCAGUCCACGCCGUAAACGAUGGGCGCUCGUCGUCGGCGGCAGACAGUCGGCGGCCAAGCGAAAGCGAUAAGCGCCCCACCUGGGGAGUACGGUCGCAAGGCUGAAACUCAAAUGAAUUGACGGGG
rnacentral:rRNA from 1 species